rnacentral:rRNA from 1 species
AAAUUGAAGAGUUUGAUCAUGGCUCAGAUUGAACGCUGGCGGCAGGCCUAACACAUGCAAGUCGAACGGUAACAGGGAACAGCUUGCUGUUUCGCUGACGAGUGGCGGACGGGUGAGUAAUGUCUGGGAAACUGCCUGAUGGAGGGGGAUAACUACUGGAAACGGUAGCUAAUACCGCAUAACGUCGCAAGACCAAAGAGGGGGA